rnacentral:rRNA from 1 species
UACAGAGGUCCCAAGCGUUGUUCGGAUUCACUGGGCGUAAAGGGUGCGUAGGCGGUCGGGUAAGUCUGAUGUGAAAUCUCUGGGCUCAACCCAGAAAUGGCAUUGGAUACUAUUCGGCUAGAGAGUUGGAGGGGGGACUGGAAUACUUGGUGUAGCAGUGAAAUGCGUAGAUAUCAAGUGGAACACCAGUGGCGAAGGCGAGUCCCUGGACAACUUCUGACGCUGAGGCACGAAAGCUAGGGGAGCAAACAGG